CCAUUGUUGGAUAAGUUCAUCACUCUGAGUGACCUCAGCAUUUGUAUCUCUUCUGGUAUUCUCCCAUGGAAACUAUUGUUGGAAAGGUCAAGACAAGUAAGAACAGUUAAGAUUUUUGGUAAAAUAGUUCAACCCCCCUGUUAACAAUUGUCACAGAGUCUUUAUAAUAGACGUCCCCAAUGUAAACCCGCUUAGCCUUUUCAUCAUUAGUCAUCUUCGCCAUUGCCUUCAAACUCUGCAAAAAUUCAAUGGACAAGUCACCUGAAAAAUUGUUGGAAGCAAUGUCCAAUAUGCGUAGCUUUGGAAACCCACAUUCCGUGUCGAUUUUUGAAAUUGUGCCGUAGAAUCUGUUUGCUCGCAAAACGAGAACCUUCAAGGAAGGUAGCUUCUCUAACCAAAAUGGGAAUGUAUCAUGAACCAUAUUAUUUCCCAGGUCCAGAACCUCAAGUGCUGUGCAAUUGGCUAAUGAUCUCGACAGCUCCCCGUCCAAUUUAUUCCCAGCUAUUUUGAGUAACCCUAGUCGAGUGGGUUGAAGGAAAUCAAUGGAUAGUUCACCAGAAAACUGGUUUGAAGCAAUGUCCAAUACAUCCAAAGUUGGGAAAACAGAUUUAUGUUUGAAAUGUUUAAUUUGACCAUAAAAUCUAUUUUCCCGCAAUAUUAGAACCGUCAAGUAAGGCAAUUUCUCCAACCAAAAAGGGAAUGUAUCAUUCAUCUUGUUGUUUCCCACGUCCAAAACUUCAAGCUGAGUGCAUUCAGCUAAUGAUCUGGGCAACUUCCCUUCCAGUCUAUUCUCACUAAUUUUGAGAAUUUGUAGUUUGGUUGCUUUUGAAAAUUUUGGUAACAUUCCACUGAAGUUAUUUCCUUGCAGAUUCAAGAAAUAGCAUUCAUUUUGCCUAAGCAAUUUGGAAUUGGGCCACUCAAAUUGUUACAAGAUAGACCGAAACUGCCAAAUUGACUCAUAUUGCCCAAGCAAUUUGGAAUUGACCCACUCAAAUUGUUAGAAGAUGCAUAAAAACUGCCAAGUUGACUCAUAUUGCAUAACCAAUUUGGAAUUGGGCCACUCAAAUUGUUAUAAGAUGCGUCGAAAUAGAAAAAGCCUCGUGAAAAAGUUGAAAGGUCCAAAGAUGAGAGAUGGUUAUUAGCAAGAGACAGAUACCGCAAACUUUUUUUCCACACCCUGUUUGGUAUUGCACCACUUAUUUUAUUAUUUGAAAGGUCCAGAAAUUAUUUUUGACUCUUUAAGAACUCCGGAAACGCACUUAUGUUACAGGAUCCCAGAUACAAUCGCCUCAACAUUGGGAAAGAGAAGUUUGCAUCACUUAAGGGAAGUUGUUUUGGAAAAUCAAUCAUAUUGAAAGAAAGGUACACCUGUGAAAGAGUGCUCUUCCACAACCAAUUAGGCACAAUACCAUGGAUAUGGUUGUUAGAAAGUUCCAGAGAAAUCAACUUGUCUUUUGUUUUGAUGAAUUCUGGGAAUUCAGUAAGGUUGCAUGAACUUAGCCUUAGGCUUUCUAAUAGGGGAAAAGUAAGACUUAUGUUGUCACUUUCAAUUAAGAAGCUUAUAUUGUUUAGCGAGAGAGUCCUUAAGUUCUUGAGUUGGACACACAUGUCAAGCUUCAUGGAACUGAAGCUAUUACCUUCGAUAUAAAGCCAUUCAAGCCGUGGAAGUUGAAGGAUUGACUUUGGGAUUGGUCCUGUUAAAUAAUUAUUGCCUAUAUAUAGUACUUCAAUCAAAGAAGAAGAUGCAUUGGGGAACUCAUUAAUUUUCCCAACCAAUUGAUUGUCUCCAUGAUGCAGGAUCUUCAACGAUGGAAGAGUGAAUAAAGAAGAAUGUAUUGAUCCAAAAAGCUUGAUCCCAUCCAAAUUGUGAUUUACAAGAUUAGGAACUCCAAAUCUAUGAAACAAAGGGGUUAAACCACUGAAAUUAUUAUAUCUUAGAUUCAAGUUCACGAGGUGACUAAGAUUUGCAAUUGACGAUGGAAUGGGUCCAAAAAAGUUGCAAGAAGAAAGAUGUAAAUUUGUCAGGAACUUAACAUUACCAACCAAUUCAAGUAGUUUUCCACUGAAAUUUGUAAAAGAAAGCGACAAACUCUGUAAAGCAUUGUUUGCUGGAAAUUCUGGCAACUGACCCAUAAGUUGGCCAUUGCCUGAAAUGUCAAUGCUUUGAAUUUUUGGCAAUAAGAGAAUUCCGGUUGGAAAAUGCCCACGCAAAUUACAGUACCUCAAACUGAGAGAAACCAAACGAGAGGAAGUUUCCAAGAAAUUGGGAGGUAAAUAAGAGAUUGGGUUCCCACCAAGGAUAAGUUUGGAAAGAAAAGAGAGUCUUGAGAGAGAAGAACAUAAUGGACCUUUCAAACCACAGCUUGACAGACUCAACACAUGCAGGUUUGGAAGUACAAGAGAUGUGGUUUCACACCAUUUAGCACUUUGAGUUGAAAUGUCCACACUAUCCAAAUAAAGCGCUGUGAGAAACCUCAAAUUCUUGAUUAAUGUCUUGAAGUUUGGAUUCUCUAAUUUAAGAGGCUGUUGAGGUUUGUAAUAGUUGUAGAAGGCAGGGUACAGAACUUUGUAAUAUCUCAAAUAACAAGAAUCUUGAUUGGAUAGAUCAAGAGAGACUAACCUAUUUAAGAAUGAGAUCUCCACUGGAAUUUGGCCAUGGAAACAUGAGCUUGAAAGGUUGAGAUGAGUUAGAUUUUGGAGUUUAUCAAACCCAUAGGAAAACAGAGUGGUAUUAAAGUUGUUUCCAGCAAGAUUCAGGUGUUGAAGAUGAUGGAGAUCGAAUAUGGAGUGGAAGCUGCCUGAAAGGUUUUUGUAACUAAGAUCAAUGCCAACGACAUGACCAUAAGCAUCACAAGUGACUCCUUCCCAAGAACAACAAUCAGUGUUGACAUCCCAGAGGUCAAAAUUGGAAGAGAAAGUAAAAUUAGGGGCACAGUAAAGAUGACGCUGCAAUUGCAGCAGAGGAGCUCUCUGGUCAUCAAGGCAUUGCUGAGGGAGAUGAGUUUGAGGAGGUGAAAAAGACAAGACAAGAGAAAGGAAGCAUGAGAAGAGGAAGGGUGAAAUAAGGAAAUGAAGAGUGUUCAUGUUGGUUGGGUGUGAAGAAGGAUUGUGCUUGGCAUACAACUUAUUUAUACACAAAUGUGUAGUUUUCAUGUUUGGCAUAUAACUUAUUUAUUAUUAGUAUUAUUAUUAUUAUCCCAUGCUUGCAAAGGUUGACCAAAAAGACUUAACUAAAGUGGUGGAACAUUAUUUUGAUGCAGUAUUGAUUGGGCAAAAAGACUUCGAAAUUGCAUGCUAUGCCAAACAUGAAAACUACACAUUUGUGUAUAAAUAUUAGACAUAUUAGAGGGAUUGAAACUGAAAUUUAACAUUUUAUUGUAAAUUUUUUUUUUAAAAAAAAGAUAAAGGAAAGGAAAGGAAAUAAAUUAUAGAUUAAAUCUCAAAUUUAGGCAUAUUAAAGAAACUAAAUUUUAAAUUUUUUUGUAAAAUGUAAAAUUAAAAAAGAAAAGGAAAAAUGAUUGGGUAUGCGACAUGUAAAAAGAAAGAAGGUCGAAACCAAUUUUUAUAUAUAAGUAUAUAGAUUAUAUAUAAUUAUUCUUACAUAAUUUAAUUUUUUUAAUAAAAAUUACUAUUAAAAUCUUUUAAUUAAAUUUUGGUAUAACACCCAAAAGAAUUAAUUUAUAUACCAAACUAAUUUAUAAAUGAGUACUUUUAAGUCCUAAUUUAUGAAACAGUACCAAACUUAUAAAUAUGCUAUGACCUAUUGAAGGGUUUAAUUAAAUUUAACACCCCAAAUUAUAAGUUGCAUCAUUCUAAAUUUAUCUCUAAACUUCAAAAACUUUUAACUAAAUAAUAGUAAAAUAUAUUGUUGGUCUUAGUCUUAGUUUUAAUAUUUGGGAUUGCAAGCGAAUUUCUAAGUCUUAGUAUAAGAAUAGAAUGUUAUUAACCUUAGUCAUGAAAAUAAUGUUUCUACCACUUUUCUUAACUGAUUGAGAGACAUUGAUGGGUCAAAGACUAAAUUUUGUUGGUGACUUCUCAAUGAACUUGUCCAAGUGUAUCAAAUCAAUAGAAACACAAUGAAACUAAAUAAUGGUUUGGUUUGAGGAAAAUAUAAGCUAUUCUUAGUCUUUGCUUUCAUUUGCACAAUGUUUGGCACUUUUCUUAUCAUAUUUGAACUUCACUCCAUAUGUUUGCUUUCAAUUUAAAACCAUAUUUAUUAUGUGGAUUAAAUCAUAGUAUUGUUAUUCAAAUUUAAAAUAAAGAAAUUAUUUCUCAAGGUAUCUAGUUGGUAAGUAAAUAUUUGCAUUUUGUUAGCCCAUUUACAGAGUAGAUGCCAUAGUUUUAAAAGUUGCUUCACAAUUAAGCCGAGGAUCGAAUCCUCGACCACGGAUUAAGGUAAGAAAGACUCUUACCAUCUCAUCUAACUCUAGUUAUUAAAAUUAAAAUUAAUUUGAAUACCAUAAAUUCAAAUAUUAAUAUUUACAUCUAUUCCAAAUUCAUUAUACAUAAUAAUUAAAAUAUUCAAAUCUAAAUAUUAUCAAAAUUCGUACUCUGGUGAUUAAAAUAUUUGUAUCCUAUUAGUCAUAUUAAUUAUGAUAUUUUCGUCAUUUUGCUUCAUCUUUAUUCUAUUAUGAUAUUUUCAUACUAUUAAUCAUAUUUGAUGUUCGCGAUUUAUUGAUAUAAAAUUUUUAGACAUUAAAUGAUGUUAUUAUUCUAAAUAUAUGCAAGCUCGACUUUGAAGUCCAACCUAUUUUAAACAUCUUUCCUUGUUGAUUGUGGAGAAUGGACCGUGAUUGCAUUGAAAAUACCAUUGAAGAAUAAUAAUUAAAAUAAUCAUAUUUUAUACUAUAAAAUAUUUAUUAUUGAAUAUUUAUAAAUUAUAUAUAUUUUUCUCAUUAAAAUAUCAAUAUAAAUAUUUUUUAAUUAUAUAUUAAGAAUAUUAUUUAAAAUUAAAUUAAAUUAUUAAAAUUUAUUAAUAAAAUAAAAUUAUAAUAUUAAAAUUAAAAAUAUAUUAUUAAUAUAAUUAUAUUAAACUUGAUUCAAAUUAAUUUUGUAUAUAAAGAUAAAAAUAUUCAUAAAUAAGCUUUGUUCGAUAAAUUAAUUACGUUUUCCAAAAAGUCAAAUUAAUUUACAGAAAAAUGAUAUUAUUUAAAUUUCCAUACUAAAAUACUUUUAAAUUUAAUUAAAAUUAUCAAAGACGAAUGAAAUUCAUGAAAUUAAUUUAACAACUUUUCAAUUUUUCGAAAAAAUCAAUUUGAUUCUUCUUCUUUUUUCAAAAUUUAUCAAGCCAAUUGAAACACAAAAAAAUUUAAUAUUUUUAAUUUUUGACUGACAAAAAAAAUGAUACUAUGAGAUAUUUUUUAUAUUAUUAGACCUAAUCUUAAUCUUUGGCAUUCCAUGCAAAUGUCUAAAUCUUUUUGCCCCUUUACUACGGCAUUAAAACAAUGUUUAGCAAAUUUCUUAGGGAGAUGGAUUGAUGGAUAUAAGUAGUGGAAAUUUUGAUGAUACAAUUCUUCUCUUCUUAACAAUUUCUUUCAAAGAAACAUAUUUAAAUUUCCACACCGAAACUUCUUUAAUUUAAAGGAAUAAAUCUUAAAAUUAUAAACUAUGUGUUAAUGUGUAAUUGUAUACAUGAAUUUUGAUUUUAUGCAAUGUUAUACAUGAAAUUUUGAUUUGAUUCAAUUCUUGUAAUUUAUUAACACAAUUAUUGAUAUAACAACAUUUUAUGUCUAUAUAUUGUAUACAUAAAUAAUUAUAUUUAUCUAAUAUAAAAAUAAAUUGAUGUUUUUAUUUCAUUAAAUGUGUAUGAUUAAAUCAAAAUUAAAAUUUGAAUUAUACAUUUGAACCACAAUUAGAGUUCCACGUGUAUGAUUACACCAAACUAAAGUUCAUAUAUAUAAUUGCACAUUAAAUUAAAGUUUAUAUAUAAUUUUAAGUUUUAUCCCUAUUUGAAAUUAUCAAAGACAAAUGAGAUUAACGAGAUGUAUUAUAUUAUAAACAAAGUUCGAUUCUUUGAAAAAGUUAAGCUCCAAUUUCAGAAGUUUUUUUUUCCAAAGUUUAUCAAACGAAUUCAAACACUAUGAGAUUAAACAACAUAUAAUUUUUUAAAUCUAAAAUAUGGAUUUUUUUUCUUUUUUAAAUCUAAAGUCAGUUCCAAUUUUCUAGUGUUUUAGAUUGUUUACUAACACUAAAAAGCACACCACAUUGUAAGGCAUCAUUUCUUUCAUUGUAUUUUUUUUUUUUACGUAGACACCAAAAUUUCAUCGGGAUACAAAUCAGCACUUUGUGGUAAACUCAAUUUAACUCAAUUUUAAUUGUAGCAAAGCUUUUAACCGGGGGCUCUUUUUCCACCAUUUUUCUUCUAACACUUUCGGCUCCCAGCACUCUGGAGGCAUCCUCCAUCACUGAACAUUCUUCACUCACCUUCAUCAUUGCCACCACCAACCACAUCAGCAUCAGAAUCAACAUAAUCAUCUUCAUCUCAGUCACCUCUCUCACCUCUAACCCAUACCAACAUUUUUAGGGUACAAAAUUGUGCUCCAAGACACAAGCAUAGUGACACCUGAGAAUCAUCCAAUUCAUCUUCAUGUAUACGAUUUCUAUAUCAUUGCACAACGUUUAAAGAACUUCGAUCCUAAAAGGGAUACUUCUAAAUUCAACCUUGUUGAUCCACCUGUGAGGAACACCGUUGGAGUGCCUGUGAAUGGAUGGGCAACCAUCAGAUUCGUCGCUGAUAAUCCAGGUAAACACCCUUCUUCAUCAUUUCAAUUACUGUGAUUCCAUUACCAAUUUUUUACUUGUUAUUAGUAUUUUUCUUAAUCAUUUUCAUAGUAUUGUGGCAUACCAAUUCUUCCCUGCAUCUGGGAAACUAGUUUAAUGCUCUGUUUCAUUGGAUAAAUUUCCCUAAAAAGUAUGUGUACAUUGUAAUAAUAGUGUGAGAUAGUGUCGGCCUUUGGCUAACAUUGGAAAACAUACUAGAUUGUAACACAAAAAUUCUUUCAUUAUAUUUUAAUUAUUAUUAUCAUAUUAUUACAUACAAAGUUUAAUUGAAUGGUAAUUUUUAACGUAAUAAUAUUAUCAUUGAAAGGAUAAAUAGACUAAUAUAAAAACAAGUGUCAAGCUGCACUAAAACCCGGACCAACGGGUCCACCCUUUACACCCAGACCUAAAGCAUAAGACGUGAUUGAAAAAUGCUUGUAGUCAUAAGAAACUAAUUACCAUUUUCUUCAAAGAUAACGUACCUCCUGACUGGAUAUUCCAUGUCCUGUGCAUUGCUAAAUGAUACAUAAAAUUACAAUAGAAUCUGGAAAAUGAAUGUCAAUGCUACGAGUAGGAUAUGAUAGAGAAAUUUACUUUUCAACAACUAUAUAUAUCAACUACCUUUUCAAAUUAGAAAGACUAAUGCUUAAUUAGACUAAUGCUUAAUUACCAGCUAAUUUUGAAACAAGAAUUCUGAUGGAGUCACCUACACCUUACCUUAAACAUGAUAAUGCUGGCAAUUAUGGUGAACGUUGUGAACAUGACAUAGUAAACAGGACAUACAACAGUAGUAUGAAAAGUGUCUAAAGCAUGCAAAAUUGUAAGCUUUUAGUAGCAUCAAGAAUAAUAACAACUUAAAUUUAGAGUCAAUCAUCAUAUUAAAUCAAGAAUAUAAGUUGAAAGAAAUUAUUUUUUUAAAAAACACAUUUAUGCUUUUUUAUCCUAUAAGCAAUUUAAUAAUGAACAAAUUGAUCUCUCAACAAAAAUUACAAAAUAUUUCAAAAUAGUUUUUAAAAUUCAAAAUAUUUAUAAAAAAAUUAAAUUAUAUUUAUUUUUUCAAUUGUAAGAAUAUUUUUAUUAUUUUGUUUUGAAAAAGUUUUCAAAUGUAUAUAGUUUUAAAUUUAUGUGCUCUAACAUUGAAUUAGUUAUCCUAUAACAAGAUUUUAAUUUGACAUAUUUAAUUUUUUAAUUGAACUUGAAUAAUUUCACUCGAUUCAAUUUGACUCGAAUUUUAUUUCACUCGACUCAAUUCGAAAAAAUGUCAAAUCAAGUUAGGAUGAUAAAUAGGACUCAUUAGUUCAAUUAACUCAAAAAAUUUUCACUUGAUUCGAUUAAACACUCAUAAAAAUCAUCAAAAAUAAAUGAGACGGAGAUAAUUUGCUGAAGGAUAAGAUGAAAUGUGUUUUAGAAAUUAACAUUUUUUUUCUUUGGCAUGCAAGCUAAUGUUCAAGUCUUUUUACCCAAUAAUGAGUACUCCUAAAUCCAACUUAUAAAUAUGUUAUGAUCUACCAACGGGCUUAAUUAAAUCCAACACCCCAAAUUAUGGGCUCAACUCUAAAUUCAAGAUUUGGCAUUGCAUGCAAAUGUCUAAGUCUUUGCCCGAUCCUUACUAGAUGAAAACAAUGGUUUACCACUUUGUUUAAGUCAAGUCAUUAUAAACACAAAAAUAAAGCAUUUGUGUUAGCUGGUUGAGAUGGAUUGAUGAGUGAAAAUUAUGAUGACCACACAAUUUCUGCGAAACUUCGAUUGGUACAAAAUAAGUGCGAGGCUGUACCAAAACCCAACAUGUGUUUGAUAAAAUAAAAACCCAAUGUGUCAGCAAAAGGUGGGAGUAGCAGCAGCAGCUGUCUCUUUACACAAUCAGUACAAUGUCCAUCAGAUAUGGCUUUCAUGUUUGCUGGCUGUGAAGGAGGAUUGUUUCCAUACAACUUAUUUAUACACAAAUUAGUUCUUUCCAUACAUUAUUUUGAAUUUUGGACUAAGCCCGAUCACUACUGCAUCAAUGUUGUACCACUAACUUUAUUUUGGUCAAUUAAUAAAAAAAAAUGGAAUUGUGGUGAUUUUUUUUAGCUGAUUGAGAUAAAAUGAUGGCUCAAAGACUAAAUUUUCUCAUAACUUUGAUGACUUUUCAAUGAACUUAAAGUGUAUGGAAUCAAUAGAAAUUUAUGGAAUGAGAUAUUAUUGGACUUAGUCUUAGCCUUUUGGCACUGUAUGCAAAUGUCUAAAUCUUUUUUACCCCAUCAAAACAAUGUUUAGCAAGUUUCUUAUGUAGUUGAGAUGGAUUGAUGGGCACAAGUAGCGGAAAUUUUGAUGAUAAAAUGUUUACAAUUUUCCUCUUCUUAGCAAUUUCUUUGAAAGAAACAUAUUUAAAUUUUCACAAUAAAAUUUCUUUAGAUUUAAUUGAAAUUAUCAAAGAAAAAUGAGAUUGACAAGAUAUCUUAUAUUAUUAACAAUUUUUCGAUUCUUUCAAAAAAUUAAUUUCAAUUUCAAAAGUUUUUUGAAAUUAAUAGAACUAUCAUUGAAAGGAUAAACAAACUAGUAUAAAAAUAAGUGUCCGGCUGAACUAAAACUCAGACCAACAGGUCCACCCUUUACACCCGGUCCUAAAGCCCAACACGUGAUUGAUAAAAUAUAAAGCUAAUAUCUGUUUGGAAGAGCAAAGGAUGAGAGUAGCAGCAUCUGCGUCUCUUUACACAAUCCGUCCAAUGUCCAUCAGAUAUGGCUUCCAUCAACAUCAUGCCAUUAAAUCUCCUCAGCUGUACAAAUAUUCUGAAGAUAAAAUAAUUGAAGUAAAAGUAAAUUGCAUAUAAAAGAAAGCUUGGGCAGCCAUUUCCUUGUUUAUAAUAUCAUUAUUAGCAUGGAAAUUCAGUAGCAGUGAAACAUUGCAUCCCCCAAAUCCACAGGGACCUGGAUGCAAAAUGAAUAAACACUAAUAUAUACUCAUGGAAAACUACAAAAGGAAAAAAGUGCAUAUAAAGCAAAAUUACAAACCAGUGGAUUGAUCUUGUUAGGAUCAUUGCCUACAUUCUUCAUGAACCUCACAACUGUACAUUCCAUGUCCUGCUUCAAGUACCUCCUGCAUUGCUCAAUGGUAACAUCAAAUUACAAGUACGAUAUAAUAGUGAACUUGGUAAAGACAGCAAAAAAUGAGGUUAUAUAUAUAUAUAUAUAUAUCAACUAUCUGUUCAAAUUAGAAAGACAAAUGCUUACCAGCUAAUUUUGAAGAAAGAAUUCUGAUGGAGUCACCUAUAUCUUCUGCUAUUUCUUUUCCCACACUUUUUGAACUUGUCCACCCAUUUGUUUCCCAACUCAUUCAGCACUGUAUAUCCAAUACAUAGCCCAACGACUAAUCCACUAGCAUAACCUAUCAACGCAAUUUUCCAAGUAGACAGAGCAUAUAACCAUGAAUCUUCAUCUUCCCCUGGAGGUGGUGGCAUUGGAAGACCAACUUCAUUGCAUUUUCUUGACAAUGGCAGCCCACACAAUUUUGGGUUCCCACGGUAGGAAUCAUUUGUAAAUGUAAUGAAUUGGUUGCUUUGUGGUAUGCUCCCUUCAAGUUGGUUGUAUGACAAGUUCAAUGCUUCCAGGAAAGUUAGACUUGUAAGUUGUGGAGGAAUCUUCCCUGACAGCUUGUUUCUUGAGAGAUCCAAAGAUUCGAGGUCUUUUAGAUUUUGAAGUGCUAAUGGGAUUUCACUAGAGAAGCUAUUGUUGGAUAAGUUCAUCACUCUGAGUGACCUCAGCAUUUGUAUUUCUUCUGGUAUUCUCCCAUGGAAACUAUUGUUGGAAAGGUCAAGACAAGUAAGAAUUGCCAAGACUUUUUGGUAGAACAUUUCAAUCCCUUUGUUAACAAUUGUCACAGAGUCUUGAUAAUAAUUCUCUCCGAUAUAAUUCAGCUUAGCCUUUUCGUCAUUAGUCAUCUUCGCCAUUGCCUUCAAAC
rnacentral:lncRNA from 1 species